rnacentral:rRNA from 1 species
AACGAACGCUGGCGGCAUGCCUAACACAUGCAAGUCGAACGAGACCUUCGGGUCUAGUGGCGCACGGGUGCGUAACGCGUGGGAACCUGCCCUUAGGUUCGGAAUAACUCCCCGAAAGGGGUGCUAAUACCGGAUAAUGUCUUCGGACCAAAGAUUUAUCGCCUUUGGAUGGGCCCGCGUUGGAUUAGCUAGUUGGUAGGGUAAAAGCCUACCAAGGCGACGAUCCAUAGCUGGUCUGAGAGGAUGCUCAGCCACACUGGGACUGCGACACGGCCCAGACUCCUACGGGAGGCAGCAGUGGGGAAUAUUGGACAAUGGGCGAAAGCCUGAUCCAGCAAUGCCGCGUGAGUGAUGAAGGCCUUAGGGUUGUAAAGCUCUUUUACCCGGGAUGAUAAUGACAGUACCGGGAGAAUAAGCUCCGGCUAACUCCGUG